UAUCAAGAAAGAUCGAGAGAGAGAGAGAUCCGUUGUCGUCGCCGCUUGAAUCCAAUUGAAUCCGGUAAUUCUCUCCCCUAAUUUUCAGGUGAUAUUCAGAGGCUUUGCGUCUUUGUUCCGUAGAAGUACAGAGAAGGUGAGCGAGGGAAAGAACGAUAGGGAGAGAAGACCUAUUUCGAUUCGAUUUGUUUCAACUUCCGCUAAGCUGCGCUCUCUUUGGUUAUGUUUUCAAGUACUUUGAUCCAUUUCAAUUCGAUCACUUAUCAAGAACGAUCCACAGAGGGAUAGAGAGAUCAGGUGUGUUUGUUUGCUUUGCUUUGCACAAAGACAUAGAGAGAGAGACAUAGCUCAUAUUCAGAAAAGGGGGAUUCUCACCUCCUCAUCUCAGCACGAGUGGGAAGGAACUAUGGAGACCACAUAUCUUCAAGAAGAAAUUGAUGAAGUCCGUGAUGAGUGGGCAGAAUUUGUUAGCAACUUUAGACUCCUCAGUUCUAUGGUUUAACUAUUAUCUAGUGAAACUUCUUUAAUUUGUUGCAAAAUUUACCUUUUGUCGCAAAACUUCUUUAAUACAUUCUUGUAUUAUUUAAGUUUCUUUUACUUUUGCAAACUUCACUGAAAAAAUUUUAACUGCGAAAGCAUUGUAAAUGUGAUUACUUGAAGUACGUACUUCUCUAUAUAUUAAUAUAUUGCAAUUUCAUUUCAA